UAGGGAAUUUUUCACAAUGAGCGAAAGCUUGAUGGAGCAAUGCCGCGUGAACGAUGAAGGUCUUUUUGAUUGUAAAGUUCUUUUAUUUGGGAAGAAUGACUCUAGCAGGCAAUGGCUGGAGUUUGACUGUACCACUUUGAAUAAGUGACGACUAACUAUGUGCCAGCAGUCGCGGUAAUACAUAGGUCGCAAGCGUUAUCCGGAUUUAUUGGGCGUAAAGCAAGCGCAGGCGGAUUGAAAAGUCUGGUGUUAAAGGCAGCUGCUUAACAGUUGUAUGCAUUGGAAACUAUCAGUCUAGAGUGUGGUAGGGAGUUUUGGAAUUUCAUGUGGAGCGGUGAAAUGCGUAGAUAUAUGAAGGAACACCAGUGGCGAAGGCGAAAACUUAGGCCAUUACUGACGCUUAGGCUUGAAAGUGUGGGGAGCAAAUAGG
rnacentral:rRNA from 1 species